rnacentral:rRNA from 1 species
UGUAAGCGUAUACCAAAGUUGUUGCAGUUAAAACGCUCGUAGUCGGAAUUUGGCAGUUCCGGAUGUGUGCACGUCGUGUGCGCACUUCGCGGGGAUUGCUUUUGUGGUCUUGCGUAGGAUGAGGCACUUUUAUUAGUGAACGUCCUCACGCAACCACUUUUUACCGUGAGAAAAUCAGAGUGCUCAAAGCAGGCAUUUGCCGUGAAUGUAUUAGCAUGGAAUAAUAGAAUAGGACUUGGUUCUAUUUUGUUGGUUUGUUGGGACUGAGUAAUGAUUAAGAGGGACAGUUGGGGGCAUUUGUAUUUCGGUGCUAGAGGUGAAAUUCUUGGAUUACCGAAAGACAAACUGCUGCGAAAGCGUCUGCCAAGGAUGUUUUCAUUGA